GGAUGUUGAAAGAACACAAAUAUAAAUAAUAUCAGUACAAUAGAUGAACUGGAUCAGGAGUCUGUUUAAUGACUGCUAUAGGACUCAGACUAGAAUGGAAUGGAAAGGAAUCAGACUGGACAUGGAAUGAGUUUGAACAUUUAAACAAUGAGUCAGAGUCAACAUAUUGCCUGCAACAAUCUGGAUCCUCAUUUUACCAACCUCAGAAGGAUGGAAGGCUGAAUCAACCUUGAGUUGCUGUAUCUCCUCAAAAGGGACCAUCAGAAUGCCUGGACUUUCAGAGAAGAAAUAAUGGAUUGAAAGCAGCCCUGAAAAGUGGACCUGACAACGGCAGCAAAAUAAAAAGCUGAAGAGUUGUCUGGCUCUUUAAUAAUUCCCCUCUGGACAAGGAGAGAAUUGGGACCAUGCUUUAAGUGCUCAAGACAGCUGCACCCUGUGAGAAGACAACAAGUUAGCAGUCUUUGGCAGGUUUUAGAGUUCUGGGAAAGCAGAGGAAUAAAUGUAUUGCUCAAUCCAUGGUCAGCACCUUUGAAACUAAGUUUGCAUACUCAUUACUUUCAGAAAUUGCUUGUUAACUGCUAUUCGACUUUAGAAAAUUUUGGAUUGAUAGGUUUGAUUGCACUGGGUGAAUUUCCUUUAAUCCUUAGUGAAAGAAGUUUUAACUAUAAGAUUAAGAACUUUUUUUUCUGGUAUAAGCACCAAAAGAGUAAUUGAAACUAAAAAAGCUACAAAUGGACUAGGAUACAGAUAAAUUUGAAAUAAGAUUUUGGAAUUAAUUAUAAAGAAUCCUUCCUGUGGUAAAGUGCUUUAGUUUUGGUUAAAAAUAAUAAGAUUUUAAGAAGUGGACCCAGAGAACUAGAAGGAACUAAAGAUUACAAUUAAAAGAGGAUUCUUAAACGCAACCUACAAAAACUCUUAAACUCAACAGAAUGAAGCAAAAUAUUUUAACACUGGACAUCUAGAAGGAUAUUUUUGAACAAUGGACCCAGAAGUUAAUUUUAAUUCUGUCUAAUAAAUGUUAUGGAAGAGAAACAGGUUCUACCUGACAAGACUGAGGCUGAUAUGAAAAUGAUAUUUACACUGGACAUAGAAAAGGAAUACACAUAGUGUUUUGCAAAAUAGGGAACACAUGAUAGUGAUUUCUAUCCCAUCUCAUACUAAUGCUAUUCUGUCAUUGAAGGAAAAAAAGGCUCAUUUCUUGGUAGCAUUUUUAAUAUUUAGUAAGGUACUUUGCAUGGUUUAUGUCAUUAUUUAAAAACAAAAUAUUAGUAUGAUUUCUUACAAUGCUGAGUAUGUUACAGAGGCAUCCAUAAGAUCAAAAUCUUUCAUUAAAAUGAUGGAAACAGUGUCAUUUCAUCAUGACACAAGCUCUGACCCUUUUGUGCAUGAUGUCAUGAUUCACAGACAAAACAAGUGGUGCUGAUGUCAAGAUGGCAAAACCCUUGCCCACCUUUACCCCCAGGAAUUAUUUCUGACAGCUUUACCAAAAAAUGUCUCUUGAAAUAUAUUCUCCAGUUCCAAGCUUGGGAUUUUAAUAAAGGUACCCUCAGUGAACUUUGAUCCCUUUAUCCUUAUCCCAUUCCCCCUUUCUUCCCUUCCUUUCUGAAUUUAAACCAUGCACACACUAGGAGACAUGCAAUGACUUGGAUAAUCAGAGGGGAAGGUGGAACAGGAUGUAGCAACAGCUAUAUGCACCAUUGGAUCAGGAUGUUCUGCAGUUCAAAAAUAAGCCCUAUGCAGGAUAUUUAUUCUUCUUUAGUAGAGAUAAAACAAAAAGUGAUAAUGCUAUUAUGGUGCUUGCUAAUUAUUUUAUCCCUGAAACUUUUUUUAUUUCCUGAAGUGAAUUCAGAUUUUUGCAGAUAAUCAUAAACCACAUUUUUAUAUAAGGACUAUAAGUAAAGGAGCCCAUCAGGUUCCCUGUUAUUAAGGACUUUGGGAACAGUGGAUCAAAAAGUGGUAUAUAAAAAUGAGAAAUAAAAGUAACACAAUAAAUAAAUACCUUGGGGGUGGGGAGGAAACUGUUCUAUACUGUCCAAAGCUCAAAGAUAAUAUUAAGCAAACAGCUUGCAUUAUUUCACAGACUUAAUUAAUGCUGAAUAUAAACUAAACAUACAAUUAUGUUUUAAUUAUGUUUGUGGGGACCUUUGAAAAUAUUUAGUAGAUCUGGCCUAAGAAUCAAAUCCACAUUGCCCUGGAAACACUGCUUGGUCAAAAUCAUGCUGCAAAAAAACAAAUGUGUCAGAGAAAAUAUUUAAGAACUAGAAUGUCACCAUAUCAGCAAAGUAUUUUACAGUACCUCUAUAGGACAAUAAAAGCAACUAUAAAUAUAAAGCAAAAUCAAAUCUAAUACCUUAUUUGAAUUCAUAUUCACUCAGAGAAUUGCUUUCUUUUUGGAAUUAAUCUUUCCACAAAUUAUUCCACAGUUAACACUUAAGAAAGGUUUCAUUCAAUAAAUGGAAAAUAUACAAUGCAAGUUCAUGUUUUUAUAAGCAUUUUGAGAAAUCAACAGAUCAAUGAACUUUUUGUAUAUCUGUUUGGAUGGAAAGAUCAAUCUGUUGUCAAUCUGCAUAUGUAACCAGGGACCCAAAUCUUGUUUUAUUGUUUUAUAUCUCUCUUAAAGACUCUGUAAAAUAAUGCAAGCUGUAUGCAUGUUGAUUGGACAACAUAUUAAUCAGUUCCUCUUUGUAAAGUAACCGGAUAAUGGCUUCUUCUUGUUAAUGGUCUUAAUAUAUACACAUAUUUAUCUUCAUGAGCAAUUAUUCCAUCACUUUCCAUCAAAAGCAUGCAACAUUUCCAUAAGCAUUGUGACAUUGUCCCUAUUGGGUGCAUAUGGUUUUUGUUAUUCUCCAGGCUUUUAACAUAUUCAAGAAAAUCAAUAUCAGUUAUGCAAAAAUGUUUCAAUUAAUGAUGUAAUAAAAUGUUUCUGUGGUUUUUAAUAGUAUUUAUCUUAAAGACUGUGAGGAUAGUAUUUUAGUAGGCAAUCAACAAAACGUUGAGAGUGUGCUACCAGAAUAAAAGUACUUUGUUUCAUUAUGCAUGUUCAGAACCAGUUAUUUUUUCCCAUUUAACAGCAACUCUUCAUAAUCAGUACAAUUACAGACCAUGCAAUGUUCUCUUAAA